UGUCCAAUGAACAGGAGGAAUCCCAGCACCGUGCUAAGCACUGUCAUUGAUAUGCUUGUGUUUCCUUGGAGCUGCAGUAGCCACAGGCAACAAUGUAACCUUUACAGUGCUGUAUAGACGUUCAAGCAAUAGCAUCCAGUCAGAAGCCUCUGCAGCUUUCUAGAGCUUGAGAAAUUGACUGUCGUAUUCGCUCACCCUGCUAUUGCCUUAUUUACAGAUCACAUAACAGGACUCAACACUAGGCUUGCCAACUGUGCGAUUUUCACUAGGACAGGUGAAAAUUUCCUGCAUAGAUUUCCCAAUCCAGACAAGACUGUAACAAAAAAAGAUACCGAAAACAGCCAAUCACUGAUCACUGUUUCAUAAGCCCCUAACGUCACCGACCUGCCCACAGAACAACACUG